rnacentral:tRNA from 1 species
GCCUUCGUGGUGUAACGGUUAGCACACUCGGCGCGUAUUCCAGAGGUCCAGGUUCGAGUCCCGUCGAGGGCA